GAUAACACGGGAAUCCAUUUGAACGAAAUCUUCAUUGACAGAAUCUUGCAUCUACCCCCUUGUGUUGUGAGAUAUCGUCUGAACGUGAGUGGAGGAGGAGAAAGAAGCCGCUGUCUCCCGUUAAUGGAACUAACCAACCAACACGUAACAAAGGCUCUGAUUCAGGUCAGAGUGAGGGUUAAAGACUGUCCUACACCAGCAGGACAGGGUUUUAAAUCCACGCGUGGAGUCAACCUGAGCGAACAAUAGGAGGCUUGGUCAGAUUGACAUGUACAGUAAGUCUGAAAAGAAAAUACGUUAGGGAUGGUUAAUUUCACACAGAGGAAAGGUUCUGUAGGUUAACCAUCUCUAAAACAAUAAAUGGUUUCUCAACAAAACAGAUGCCCGGAGACGACCGAGGAGCAAUUACUAUUUACUUUUGUAAAAUAAAUUGAUUUUCAAUUUAGUAAUGUUUUGGAACGUUAACAUUAUUGAGUGAAAGAAUUCCUGUUGAUAGAAUCAGUUUAGACAUUGGACUUUUCCAACUUGCAACACAGCAGGUGGAUAGCGCAAAAGUAAAUACACAGGGGUUUAGCCUUCUGUUUCUGAUUUUUUGAAUCGUUAAAAACUGGGAGAAUGAUAAAAACAUUGUUGGCUGUGCCAACUCUUCGAAAGAACCUCAAUUUGUCAAGACUAUCGCUCUUUCGAAAGAUCCACACGGCCUGCAUUCUUUCUCUUCAGCAAGACCACAAACUUUCCACUAAAGAACUGGUAAAAAAGUAUGAAACCAACCUUGUAAAUGGUCUGACUAGUGCAAGAGCAGCUGAGAUCCUGGCUCGGGAUGGUCCCAAUGCGCUCACGCCUCCCAAACAGAUCCCUGAGAUAGUCAAGUUCUUGAAGCAAAUGAUUGGUGGAUUCUCCCUUCUGCUUUGGGUUGGAGCUAUACUCUGUUGGCUUGCUUAUGUCAUUCAAACAGGAGAAGGCAAUCAUGCAGCCAAAGACAAUUUAUAUUUAGGUGUUGUGCUGGCUGGAGUUGUCAUACUCACGGGCUGUUUUGCCUACUACCAAGAAGCAAAGAGCACCAAUAUCAUGGCCAGCUUUCACAGGAUGGUUCCUCAGCAAGCCCUUGUGAUUCGAGAUGGUGAGAAGCAAAUGAUUACAGCAGAUAAACUGGUUGUUGGCGACAUUGUGUUGAUUAAAGCUGGUGACCAAAUUCCAGCAGAUCUCCGUCUGCUCUCUGCUCAGGGUUGCAAGGUGGAUAACUCAAGCUUGACUGGCGAGUCUGAAGCACAGUCUCGUUCCACUGAAUUUACACAUGAGAAUAUCCUUGAAACAAAGAAUAUUGUGUUCUACUCCACCACUUGCCUUGAAGGCACAGCAACUGGCAUGGUGAUCAGCACCGGCGAUCAAACUAUGAUUGGAGCAAUUGCAUCUCUUGCAUCAGAAGUACAUAAUUUGAAGACACCCAUCGCGAUUGAAAUUGAACACUUUGUCUGUAUUGUUACGGGAAUGGCUGUAACUAUAGGAGUGGUGUUUUUCAUCCUUGCCAUGAGUCUGGGAUACAAACUACUGGAUUCCAUCAUCUUCUUGAUUGGCAUCAUUGUUGCUAAUGUGCCUGAAGGCCUCCUGGCCACCCUCACUGUUAGCCUCACACUGACAGCCAAAAGAAUGGCCAAAAAGAACUGCUUGGUAAAGAAUCUGGAGGCUGUUGAAACUCUGGGAUCCACAUCUGUUAUCUGCUCCGAUAAAACAGGGACACUUACACAGAAUCGCAUGACUGUAGCACAUCUUUGGUUUGAUAAUCAAAACCAUGCAGCAGAUACUAGUGAAGAACAGUCAGCUCAGCACUUUGACCAAACAUCACAAACAUGGGCAGUUCUGGCCAGGAUUAUUGCACUCUGUAAUCGAGCAGAAUUCAAACCAGGGCAGGAGGAUAUUCCAAUUAUGAAGCGGGAAAUAGUUGGCGAUGCCUCUGAAAGUGCUCUUUUGAAAUUCUCUGAAACAGUAUUUGGCAAUGUGAUGGAAUUCAGAGAGGAGAAUACUAAAAUAUUUGAAAUACCAUUCAACUCAACCAACAAAUUUCAGCUGUCCAUUCAUAGGACCAACAAUCCAUAUGACAAACGUCUCCUCUUAGUGAUGAAGGGAGCACCAGAACGUAUCUUGGAGUCUUGUUCCACUAUAAUGUUCCAGGGCAGAGAGGUUCCACUGGAUGAAAGUGAGAUAGAAGUCAUUCAGAUGGCUUAUCAUGAAUAUGGUGGGUUGGGUGAGAGAGUUCUAGGAUUUUGUCAUCAAUAUUUGCCAAAAGACAAAUAUCCAGAUUUAUACAUAUUUGAUGCAGACAGCCGAAAUUUUCCAAUUUCCAAUCUAUGCUUUGUUGGUCUUCUGUCCUUGAUUGAUCCACCUCGCUCGAGUGUGCCAGAUGCAGUUCUAAAAUGCAGAAGUGCAGGAAUUAAAGUCAUUAUGGUCUCUGGUGAUCAUCCAAUCACGGCAACCGCUAUAGCAAGGAGUACAGGCAUUAUCUCAGCAGGUAGUGAGACAGUGGAAGACAUUGCAAAGCGUCUUAAUAUCUCAGUCAACCAAGUGAAUAAAAGUGAUGCCAAAGCUGCUGUCAUAAAUGGUUCAAAUUUCCAAGACAUGGACCCUGAGUUCCUGGAUGACAUUUUGAGAAACUACACUGAAAUCGUAUUUGCCAGGACAUCACCUCAGCAGAAAUUAUAUAUCGUAGAAGCCUGCCAAAGACAGGGAUCCAUUGUGGCAGUUACUGGAGAUGGUGUUAAUGACUCACCUGCUUUGAAAAAAGCAGACAUUGGAAUAGCUAUGGGGAUCGUGGGUUCAGAUGCAGCCAAAAAUUCAGCAGAUAUGAUUCUACUGGAUGAUAACUUUGCCUCGAUAGUCACUGGAGUGGAAGAAGGUCGUCUGAUUUUUGACAAUUUGAAGAAGGCCAUUGCCUACACCUUGACCAAGAAUAUGGCUGAACUGUGUCCAUUCAUUGUGUACAUCAUUGUCAGUAUACCACUUCCCAUUGGAACUAUUACUAUUCUCCUCAUUGACCUGGGUACAGAUGUUAUCCCGUCUAUUUCAUUAGCAUAUGAGAAAGCUGAAAGAGAUAUAAUGCAUGUCCAACCCCGGAACCCCAGCAAAGAUCGAUUGGUGAACUUGCAGCUUGCAGCGUAUUCAUAUCUGCAAAUUGGAGUGAUGCAGUCCGUUGGAGGGUUUCUUUGUUAUUUUACUGUCUUGGCAGACCAAGGCUGGCUUCCUUCAAGGAUUAUUGGUAUACGCCUAGCAUGGGAAGACUCCACUAAUAAUGAUGUUGAAGACAGCUAUGGACAAGAAUGGACCUAUCAACAGAGGCUGCAUGUGGAGUGGACCUGCUACACUGCUUUCUUUGUUGGAAUUGUUAUCGAACAGCUUGCUGACUUAAUCAUUCGUAAAACCAGACGGAACUCUAUUUUCCAGCAGGGUAUAUUUGGAAAUAAAAUGCUUUGGAUCGGUCUUCUCUCUCAAGUUGGCAUUGCACUUUUGCUAUGUUAUGUUCCUGGGAUGCAAAAUAACCUUCACUUCACCUUUCUCAGGUUUCAGUACUGGUUUGUCGCAGUACCUUUUGCAAUUCUAAUAUUUGUAUAUGAUGAAAUCCGUAAAUUCUUCAUUCGCAAAUACCCUGGAAUUGCUACAAUCUAUAAAAAGGAACUACAUAUUGCUUAAAGCAAGAACAAGAAAGAGGAUGCCUGAUGAAUUUUAUACCAUGAUGAAUUGUGGUUGGUGGGACAAAAAUAUGUACUAUUGACAGUCAUCUUGUGAAACUAUAUGUGACCCCUUCACUACUGGACUGAAGUUGUCAAGUGCCCACGAGACUGGAGAAGAUAGCGAGUCUAGCCAGCAUCAGCAAGGAGGGAAGAAUCAUUACUUUGCUCUGUGUUAAAACCUCAUUGCAAUUUUCUCUUCAUCGUGGUUUGCUUCUAUAUAACUAAUGUUGGGGAGCAAUAAUUUUGAAAAUGGCAAUUUUUCUGUUUGCUGGUUACUUCACUCUACUAGUUCUCUAGAAGCAACUUAGGUUUGCGCCUAGUUUUGAAAAAAUGAUUAUAUAAUUAUAUCCCAGGCUCUUGCAGUUUGCACAAAUGAAUUUCUAAUUAAAUAAUGUCAGCACCUUAUUAAAUCAAUAGAAAACAAAAAAAAUGUAUUGCGCUUUUUCUACCAUGUAUUUUAUUAGAUUAGAUUACUUUCAGUGUGGAA